UACGGGGGGGGCAAGCGUUGUUCGGAAUUACUGGGCGUAAAGGGCUCGUAGGCGGCCAACUAAGUCAGACGUGAAAUCCCUCGGCUUAACCGGGGAACUGCGUCUGAUACUGGAUGGCUUGAAUCCGGGAGAGGGAUGCGGAAUUCCAGGUGUAGCGGUGAAAUGCGUAGAUAUCGGGAGGAACACCAGUGGCGAAGGCGACUACCUGGCCUGUUCUUGACGCUGAGGCGCGAAAGCUAGGGGAGCAAACGGG
rnacentral:rRNA from 1 species